UGGGUGAAAAAGGGGAUAUGUCCAGGUCCAGAGCUGAACUCGGACAACCCCUUUAAAACCCAUUUCAGCAAAUUCCAUGUUAGAAAAUACAGAAGCCAUUCGUUCCCUGGCAUAUUACGACCACCAUUCGGGUGUUACUGUAUUCAGGAGAAAAUUUAUAGCAAAUUGUGGGGGAACAUUCUGCCAUUAUCCUUUGUGAAAAAGAAAGUUUGGGCCUAAAGCAUCAUUUUCUUGUACAAAUUAUUAUUAUAAUUUUUUUUUUCAUUUUCACAGCCAAGUGUUAUAAAUUCUAUGAAACGCCUGUUGGUUCAAAUACAAAUUCCUUGGGUGAUGUAGUUUCCAAAAAUGUGGUCACUUUUUGGGAGUUUUCACUGUGAGGGUACCUCAGGGUCUCUUCCAGCAAAAUCUGCCCUAAAAAAUAAAAUUACAUUUCCAAAAUGAUGCACAAAAAGUAGAGAAUUGGUGAAUGUUAAUUAACAAGUAUUUUAUGAGGUUAUGAGGUCUUAAAAGCAGAGAGAUUAAUUUUUUUUUUUAUAAAUUAAGGUAAAACAUAUCGACUCAAAUUUACCAUUAACAUGGUGUACAAUGUGUCAUGAGAAAACAUUCUCAGAAUGGCUUGGAAAAGUAAAAGUAUUCCAAAGUUAUCACCACAUAAGGUGACACAUCAGAUUUGCAAAAUUAGGCUUAGUCAGGAAGGGCGCACAUGGCUUGGUCUGGAAGUGGUUGUCCAUCUGUAACAAUAACCACAGUUUUAUUGCUCUGUCUCUCUUGAUGUAUAAUCCCAUGUAUAAAUGUCUGUAACAUCUCUUAAGAGUUGUGCUUUCUCCCAGCCAUUCAUUUGUAUACUGAAGAGCGAACCUCUGUGCCCUGAAAGCUUAUAAGCAGAAUGUUUUUUUUUUUUUUGCUUGCCAAUAAGGUAUCACUGCUAUAAUUCCUUUUGUCUUUUUUACCACAAAAGUAUUUAACAUCACAUUGCCUCAGCUUUCAGAUUUUACAGAAACAUGUGACAGUAAGAUGACCAGAUGGUCAGAUUUCCUGGUGCAGUCUUGGUAGCCAAAAUCAGGAGUGGAUCAUAAAAGGAGAGAAACUAUAAGGUAAGCCCCUGGAGUGUCCUGCAAGGAAUUGUGAAGGGACGCAUGCCAAGGGUAGGAUGACUAGGAAAGGUUAAAAGGUGGAGUGAGUUGCACGUGUGUGAGGCAUGGUUACGGGAAAGGAGGAAUGUUCAAGGUGGGUAAGGAAGGCACACGAGGUGGCAGAGUAAAGAAGUAUUUGUUUUUGCUCGUUUCUAUAUGGCAUAGUUGGUGACACUUGGGCAGUGUUGCUCUUCUUGCAGCGCCGGGAGUAGGAGGGGUCUUGGGAAACAUCUGUUAUUGAUAGCCUGGAUAAAAAACGGGACAAGUUUGGGGGCUCAUGUUUAACUCCCCCAUUGUCACCGUCGAUAUUUUGAAGGUAGAGUAAUUUUCUUCAUCUAUAGUCAAUCACUACUUCUCGAAUGUCUUGCGGUAUAAGCUCCAAUUUACCCCUGCUUCCACUUUCCCUGUAGUCUAUCAGAAAGAGGGGGGCAGAGAUAGUGAAGUAGCGCCAACACCAAUAAAAGAUAAACAGGUUUAUUAUACUCACAAAGAUUAAUGAAAUCAAGAACGUAUCAAGUAUUAAAAAUCCACUUCAUCAGGGACAUAUACCUUUCCUCCAAUCAGGACUUCCCUUUUAUCCGCCCAGAAAGGUAUCUUUUUCUGUUUUUAUUAAUAUUAAAAGAUCACCAUUAAAAUAAUAUAAAACCAUCUAAUAUCCAUUAUUUUGCAGCUAUUUCCUUUUAAAGAGGACCUUUCACCGGUUCUGAGAUUAUAAUAUUAAUACCUGGCACUGUAGGGCAUGUUUAGGGGAUGCUAUAUCGCAAUUUUUUUUUUUUUUAGAUAUGCUGUGCCUUCCAUUCUCUUUUGCCGCCCUGUAUGCUAAUAAAUAGCAUUCAUACAGGUAAGAAGGAGACGGCCACAUUUCUCAGGGGGUGUCUCCUUCUCCCUGGCUGUAGCGCGGUCCAAUCACAGCAGACCGCGUCACAACCAUUGACAAAAAAAAGCUCACCUCCUCCCUGACUGUGACGCUCUCCGCUGUGAUUGGACAGCGCACAGCCAGGGAGAAGAAGAUGCCCACUAAGAAACACGUCCAUCUCCUCCUCUCUGUACUAAUGCAUGUGAGGGCUGCAAAACAGAACGGGGGCACAGUGGCUCAAUGGAGCAGCGUAUCUGAAAAAAUAUAGCGAUAUCACAUCCCCUAAACAUGCCAUACAGUGCCAGGUAUUAAUAUUGUAAUCUCGGAACUCCUUUAAACAUCAGAGGGGCUGCCUUGGUGAAAAUGUGGGUAUGUCCGGGUUCAGCUCUGAGACGAAAGCUGAGGCUGCUUUACAAUGUAUAAUAUCAUGCAGCUUGAGUUUGUCAUCAUACCUUGUUUUUGGUACAAAGUACUAAGUCACAUUGAUCACGUCAUCAAAUGUUUUCAACAUUUAUAAACUGCUUCUGUCACACCCGCUAUCCGCGGUCCUCUUACUACGGUGAUGUAUGGUCACAUCACUACUCCUCAGCAUGGUGGCCGCAUCGUGCACUCUAUUCUACAUAUGGGAUGCGCGAUGCGUUCCACCAUGCGUUCCACUACGGCCCCUCGUUUCCGGCCAUGUGAUCCAGAUAUCCGAUAUGCUUAGCCACAUAACGGUGGCCUUUAUUCAUUCUAUAAUCUUCUCUUUUUCUUAAAAACUUGUUAUAUCAAAUAAUUGUUCUAUUUAGAUUUUUAUGGAACUCUGGGCAUCAGUAGCCCUGACGGGUAUUUACCUCAUUUAAAUAUGGAAUGGAAUAAUUAUGACAAUCGGAUAUUACCAGGCUUUGUCUGGUGGAACGCAUAUGCGUUCCACCAGCCGAUCAUGUGACCUGCAUUUCCGGUUCCUGGCCACAAACGAUCCAAUACACUCCCUGAUUGCGGAUAGCAUCUUGCUGCACAGGUGAAUCGUAUGCAAACUUUAUAUGUUACCCUUUAUAAUAUGACACCCCAACACUUAGUCCUUUACCCCUGAGGAAGCCGGACUGCUCCGGCGAUACGCGUUGGGUGCGUUCUCAUUCUUACAGGUCCACUAUACCAGCGGUCUAUUUAGGUUUGACAUUUUUGUAUUCAGACUUUACUUUGGUUUGCUUGUAUCUUUAAUGGUCUUACCUCAUUUUAUAUUUGCUUAAUGCUUGUUAUUAUACAUCUACAUGCUGGUUUAUAAUAUACAUGCCUAAUUGCGGCAUUUAGUGGACCUGGUUGUGUCGGUCAUAUUCUUUGUACACCGCACUUUGUUCUAAUUGUAUACAAUUUUUAACUUGUAUUUGUUGGUGUGUUCAAUAAAUUUCAUAUUUUUGAUAACUUUGGAUUGUUGGAUGUGCAUAUAUGGGGUGGUUCUCAUGACUCUCUCUUGGGUCAGCUGAUAUUGUCUUAUGUCUUUUCACCACCCUUUGCACUCCAUAUUUUAUCAGGUGUGCCCCCUUAUUUGUGUAUCUCUCUGAAUUUCUUUGGGUGGAAUUGUAUUCUCCCGUUUCUGAGGGAGUGGCACCCCACCUGUGCAGCUUGUUCUUGUGUGUUGGUGUAGUUGUAUUUUUAUACUAUUAUGGCGGCCUCAUUGGAGGCUAGGGAAGCCAUGUGGAAUUCGCAGGUCACAGCCGUGUUUCAUGACACGGACAUGGAUGGUGGUGAUCACAGCAAUGAUUUUAGACAAUUGACUACGGAAUUGACAGACGCACAUAGGCUCUUCACCAGGGUGUGCUCAAUUGCCCCAAGGGGGCUUAGAAUACAGAAAUUUCCAGCCUGGGAGGUCACUCCCGAAUUUAAAUCUAAUUGGGAGUUGGGCCUCAUGCAGUGCUCCAAGAUUUUGAUGGGUAUGCUCAUAGAUCAUGAUAAAGAUCUACUGAAUGAUGUGAAAAGCAAAAUUAGGAAUUUAGAAGCAAGUCUGUCAAAAAUGGAUGAGGACAAGGUUUCAGCAUUUAAAGUCAAACUACAGUCCAACUUAGAGAGCUAUGAGAAGGAGAUUAUGACUGGAAAGAAAAAUAAGUUUCAGAGGGACAAAACAGACUUUGAAUGCAAACAGGCAUUCAAAUGGAGACAUACUGGCAAUUCACGCAGCAAUGGUCGAGGUCAUGUGAAUACCAAUAUUUUCAGUAAACGCAGUGAUAAUAUGACAUCUAAUCCCAUUGGCUCUAAUAGCAACACCAGUGAUGGUUUUUUACCGGAAACAAGCGACGAAGGCGUACUAGGCGAGGACUACGUAAAUCCCAGAAAGAGAACAUUUGUGCAGCAGAGAGGAAACAAUCAUUACCCUGCCACUCGCAAACGACGACCCCAACACUAACAGGAGCCUCCAUUUUGGAACUUCCAUUGGAUGAGGAUGGCCUGAGAAUUAUCAAUUUAUCAACAUACUCACUCACGCAAAUGGAGAGAUCUGUAUUGACAAUUAUGUUUUAGAGCACUUUAUGCUCAACCGUCUUUGGUACAACAGUUACCAGAGGAUGAAAGGGGUGUCUUUAUAGAUCUGAUGGAUUUAUUGAAAGAAAAUGAAGGUGAUACAGGUCAUGGUGGUAGAAAUCAGGAAACUCCAGGUGAAUACAAUCCAUAAGAAAAAUUUGACCAGAGCGGAAUUGGUGGCUAUCCAGAAUUUGCAGAAUAAUGCAGCUUUUAUCAUCAAGGAGGCCGAUAAGGGAGACCCCACUACGAUUUUUAAGAAAAAAUUUGAUGGACUUCUUAUGUCUGCCUGGCAAUUCAAUAUCAUUACCAAAAAAGAAAAAGAAUUUAUGGAAGUCAAAUUCCCCAUCACUCCAACUUUUUACAUGCUUCCAAAGGCCUUUGUUCUAGGUCUUCGGUCAUAUCUCAGAGACUCUGUGCAAUUGGUACAAUACCUACAGGAGAUACAUCUUCCUCCGGGCACAAUGAUACUCACAUGCGACGUGGAGUCCCUUUACUCGAACAUCUCGAAUAGCGAUGGUAUCCAAGCUACCCGAUACUUCCUUCAAAAAUCAACUUUUGGGGAUCCAGUGCAUCAUACAUUUUUGGGUCUCGGAUACCACUGCCGAUUUUCUGGAUAUUCGAUUGAAUCUUGAUGACCAGGGCAUCCGCACAUCGUUAUUUCGUAAGGAAACGGCGACUAAUAGCCUUUUACACUUUGAUAGCUUUCACCCGGCCCAUCUGCGAAAAGGGAUCCCCAAAGGACAAUUCUUGAGGUUGCGACGCAACUGUACCACUGUGCCUGAUUCUAAUGAAGCUGCGGGGGACCUGACAACCAGAUUUCGAACACGGGGUUACCCUAAGAAAGUCAUCUCAGGGGCAUUUGAAACGGCAAAGGUGGCGGACCGCUCGGAAUUGUUGAAACCGAAACCCAAGCCUCGGAGUACGCAAGUACAUCUCAUCACUAAAUAUAACAACCAAUGGCAUGAUCUAUAUACAAUAUUAAAACACACAUUGGCAUCUGUUGCUGGCUGACCCCAAAUUAAGUAGUCAUGUUAAGCCCAGGCCUAAGAUUAUCGCACGAAGAGCCCCGAACCUGCGAGAUAAAUUGGUAUCCAACUGCCAUUCCUUUGGGCCACUAUAUCAACUGUCGGUCCAGGAACGUAAUCUAUGCACUCAUUUGCAAUUGUGGAAAAAUUUACGUUGGUCAGACCAGUCAGGAGUUGCGGAAACGCAUUCAACAGCACCUAUCAAAUAUCGCUUUGGCUCGCCGGGAUCGGAUUCAAGCAAAGAAACCCUUGACACAGAACUUUUUCCUCUGAAAUUACAUCAUCCUUCCAUAAGGUUGGAGGUACGACGGAUAAACUGGUUUGGUUUGAUUGAAUGGAAUAUUCGGCCAGCCAAUACGUGGUUAAGAGGCGCAACCUUAGUUAAUUAUUUAUGUGUGUGCUGAUAUUGAACACGUAUCAUAGGGACAUAUAGACCUCAUUAUGGAUUGUUAUUGGGCAGGUUAAAUUGUUUCAUUAUAAUGUAUGUAAUAUAUUUUUUUUUUUUAUGCACUUAUCAUGUGUUAUUUAUUUAUUUAUUUCCUACAGGUCUUCCCUUUCCUUUUCUUUUCAUACACGGGCACGCACCCUUUCACUUCUGUCACUGCUUCCGUGUUCUCUUACACGGCUUACUCUUUCACAUGUAUUUUUAUGUCACAUUUUUAGGUUGGAUUUAUCUCCAGGAUCUUCAUUGCCUAGGGAUCACUAGUAUGCAACUAAUAACGAUAAGAAAAUCACAGCAUAAUUAUUAUCCUGUAGGAUUUCCCAAUUGGGUCAUUAUUAUUACUAUGUUAUUUUGUAGGUUGUGGAUAUUUUAAGAUUUUGUCCUUUAUUCAUCCACUAUGUAUAUGCCAUCGAAUGUGCCCAAUAUACAAUAUGGACUGAGGGUAUCAGAUUUCUGUUUACACUAUUUCCAUAUCCAUUUGUGUCCCACCACCUCUUCCUCCAUCUUUGGAUAUAUCCUUUUGUCCCUCAAUGUGUGGAGUGUACUGUGCGCUCCACGAUUCGGUGUGGAGCGCAUGAUGCGUUCCAGCAUGCGUUCCACUGCGGACCUGGGCUUCCGGCCAUGUGACUUACACAUCCGGAGCGCCUUGGCCGCUAAACUGCUUCUGUCACACCCGCUAUCCGCGGUCCUCUUACUACGGUGAUGUAUGGUCACAUCACUACUCCUCAGCAUGGUGGCCGCAUCGUGCACUCUAUUUUACAUAUGGGAUGCGCGAUGCGUUCCACCAUGCGUUCCACUACGGCCCCUCGUUUCCGGCCAUGUGAUCCAGAUAUCCGAUAUGCUUAGCCACAUAGCUGUGGCCUUUAUUCAUUCUAUAAUCUUCUCUUUUUCUUAAAAACUUGUUAUAUCAAAUAAUUGUUCUAUUUAGAUUUUUAUGGAACUCUGGGCAUCAGUAGCCCUGACGGGUAUUUACCUCAUUUAAAUAUGGAAUGGAAUAAUUAUGACAAUCGGAUAUUACCAGGCUUUGUCUGGUGGAACGCAUAUGCGUUCCACCAGCCGAUCAUGUGACCUGCAUUUCCGGUUCCUGGCCACAAACGAUCCAAUACACUCCCUGAUUGCGGAUAGCAUCUUGCUGCACAGGUGAAUCGUAUGCAAACUUUAUAUGUUACCCUUUAUAAUAUGACACCCCAACACUUGGUCCUUUACCCCUUAAGAAGCCUGACUGCUCCGGCGAUACACGUUGGGUGCGUUCUCAUUCUUACAGGUCCACUAUACCAGCGGUCUAUUUAGGUUUGACAUUUUUGUAUUCAGACUUUACUUUGGUUUGCUUGUAUCUUUAAUGGUCUUACCUCAUUUUAUAUUUUCUUAAUGCUUGUUAUAAUACAUCUACAUGCUGGUUUAUAAUAUACAUGCCUAAUUGCGGCAUUUAGUGGACCUGGUUGUGUCGGUCAUAUUCUUUGUACACUGCACUUUGUUCUAAUUGUAUACAAUU